CAGCCGCCGCGGUAAUACGGAGGGCGCAAGCGUUAAUCGGAAUUACUGGGCGUAAAGCGCACGCAGGCGGUUUGUUAAGUCAGAUGUGAAAUCCCCGAGCUUAACUUGGGAACUGCAUUUGAAACUGGCAAGCUAGAGUCUUGUAGAGGGGGGUAGAAUUCCAGGUGUAGCGGUGAAAUGCGUAGAGAUCUGGAGGAAUACCGGUGGCGAAGGCGGCCCCCUGGACAAAGACUGACGCUCAGGUGCGAAAGCGUGGGGAGCAAACAGGAUUAGAGACCCCUGUAGUCCCUGUCUCUUAUAC
rnacentral:rRNA from 1 species